rnacentral:rRNA from 1 species
UACCGUGGAGGGAAAGAUGAAAAGAACUUUGAAAAAGAGAGUCAAACAGUACGUGAAAAUUGUUGAAAAGGGAAACGAUUGAAAGCCAGUCGUACCUACGGGUAAUCAGCCUUUCGGGUGUGAUUCUGUGGAGCGUGAGGAGUUAAACGCCUUCAUGCCUGCAUAUUCGUGCACCUUGGGUGUACUUGCCCGUGUGUAAGUUAACAUCAAUUUUGGUGGUCAUAAAAUGG